CCUACAUGUAACAUAAACAGUGCUAUCUAACUCCAUAGUGCCAUAUUCUAAACACAAAUACCUAUUUUAGAGUAUUGAAGCAAUAAGCUUGAAAAACUUAUGUCAUGUCUGGAAAUCCUUUAAAGUCAGAUUCAAUUCUGACGAGAAGCUUAUGUGAGUAGCACCUGGAUGACAGAAUUGAUUCUGGAGAGAGUUAAGCUGAUCAAAGCAUGCUAUUCGUAUUUCGAAAAAAGGGAGUGGACUCUGAGAAUUUGAAUACCUGUAUGGAACCUGCAAUGCAAAUCUGAAUCCAGAUUUUUCAUAUAGUGAUGCAUAGGUUGCCAGGUCUUCCUCAGAGAACCAUGGUGGCAAGGGUAUAGAUGGACUAAACAAGUCCAUGAUUUCCUGAUCAUCACCUGCUACUGGCACCUCACUUCCAGAAAAGAGAGUGUAGAUGUUCCUUAUAACCGACUUAACAUCGAAGCGGCCAAAAUCUGCUUCUGCCCUCCCAGGCUCCUGAAAUCAGUUAAUCAAUCAUGAGCUCAUGAUUGACAUAAAUUGAGAGAGGGAUGAAAAUAAUGAUGCCAGAGAAUUUGCACCUGAAACCUAGUAAUGUAGAAUCCUUUUGGGAGAAGGUGGUUCUUGAUAGCAGAGGGACCAGGAAGCAUGAAAGGAAUGCCUAAAGUUAUCACAGAAGCUACCUUUUCAGGAUGGAGGGCAGCUACAAGGUAUCCUGGGAUGGCACCAAAGUCCUUACCAACAAGGAUAGCCUGAUACAAACAAUUUUAAUUGCACAUGCAAUUAGACUAGUUUUUCAUCUCAAUCAAACAAAGGUCAUCUUUUUUCCCCUUACCCACUAUUCUUAAAGCUUUAAUUUACAAUGCUAAAACACAACAAGGGUGAAUAUGCUAUAAAGCUUCCGCAGUGGGAGGGGUCGGACCAACUUUGUGGAUCUAACAUAGACAGUCUUAUCUUGCAUAUUUGCAAGAGACUGAAUCUACGGUUCAAAUCUGUGACCGCAAAGUCACGAGACUCGCCCUCCCAAAAACACAACAAAAAAACAGAUAACUUGGGUGUGGGAAUUCAAGUGAUAGAAUUUGCAGAGUUGUUUGUAAACAUAUAAUAUUUUGUGUAUCUAGAAACUCAUGCUUCUUGACAAUUGUAUAAGAGAUACUAGUUGAAAUUAUAUUGCACAUCACAUCUUUCUCCUUA